rnacentral:pre_miRNA from 1 species
AAGCUUCUUCAGGAAGCUGGUUUCAUAUGUGGUUUAGAUUUAAAUAGUGAUUGUCUAGCACCAUUUGAAAUCAGUGUUCCUUGGGGAGGCCAAGUGCAC